AUCGAGGUUUUUCUCAAAACCACAUUUUAUAACAUGACAGUAAGAU
rfam:Stomoxys calcitrans breed 8C7A2A5H3J4 unplaced genomic scaffold Scaffold12, whole genome shotgun sequence.